CCCUGACCAAAUUAUCAUCACGAACACUGCAGCAGUUCUUACAGAACAAGUUAAAUAUACCCUUUCGCAAACCAGACCCAGCAGCAAGAUUUUUAGACAACUUAGCUUUCUUAUUAGUGCUCUUAGUGCACUCCUUAUAAGCUGCCAAGAAAGGAUCAUCCUGUUUUCUAAAACUUCUGCUUGAAGAACUUCUGGAAGGAGGCUGAAACGUGCAUGGAGGAAGAGGAAUUUGGAUGUCAUGGGCUGAAGCCCUAGGGCUUCCGAUCGGACAUGGAGGUGGUGGAAGCUUUACAAAGUCUUCUUCACUAGGAUACCGUUGGAUGACGACCUUGGAGACCCCCGGCUUCUUCUCCCAAGAGAAGGGUACAUUUCCUUUUGGGUGAGCUUUUAUUUGAUUCAUGUUGUAGCAAAAAAUUUUGGCCAAGGAACUUGAGAAACAGAG
rnacentral:misc_RNA from 1 species